AGUCUGAUACCGUGCCGUUAGUUAACAUUGAAAAAUUUCUUUGAAUUUUUAAAGCAUUUUAGAACGCUUAUUUCUUCAUUUUAAGCUUCUCAGAACACUUUAUUUCGCAUAGGCAUACAUAGUAAACUUUAGGGUCACGCUGUGUACCCCCUAAAUGAC